rnacentral:rRNA from 1 species
AUUGAACGCUGGCGGCAUGCUUUACACAUGCAAGUCGAACGGCAGCGCGGGCUUCGGCCUGGCGGCGAGUGGCGAACGGGUGAGUAAUACAUCGGAACGUGCCCAGUAGUGGGGGAUAGCUCGGCGAAAGCCGGAUUAAUACCGCAUGCGACCUGAUGGUGAAAGCGGGGGGUCUUCGGACCUCGCGCUCUUGGAGCGGCCGAUGGCAGAUUAGCUAGUUGGUGGGGUAAAGGCCUACCAAGGCGACGAUCUGUAGCUGGUCUGAGAGGACGACCAGCCACACUGGGACUGAGACACGGCCCAGACUCCUACGGGAGGCAGCAGUGGGGAAUUUUGGACAAUGGGCGAAAGCCUGAUCCAGCAAUGCCGCGUGUGUGAUGAAGGCCUUCGGGUUGGAAAGCACUUUUGGCGGGAACGAAAAGGACUGUGCCAAUACCACGGUUCGAUGACGGUACCCGCAGAAUAAGCACCGGCUAACUACGUG